GCCUGGAUAGCUCAGUUGGUUAGAGCGUGGUGCUGAUAAUGCCAAGGUUGCAGGUUCAAUCCCUGGACAGCUGCA